CUGGCUCCGGUUCACGUACCCACACGGGUGCGACCCGGCGGCU
rnacentral:ncRNA from 1 species